CCUGAACGCUGGCGGCGUGGCUAAGACAUGCAAGUCGUACGGAUGUAGCAAUACAUCAGUGGCGAACGGGUGAGUAAUGAAUCGCUAAUGUACCCCGGACUCUGGGAUAGCUGCCCGAAAGGGCAGGUAAUACCAGAUGAUAUAUCUUUAUCGCAUGAUAGAGAUCUCAAAGGUCCGCCGGUCUGGGAGCAGGCGAUUUUGUAUCAGCUAGUUGGUGAGGUAACGGCUCACCAAGGCGAUGACGCAUAGCCGGACUGAGAGGUUGGCCGGCCACAUUGGGACUGAGACACUGCCCAGACUCCUACGGGGGGCUGCAGUAACGAAUCUUCCGCAAUGCACGAAAGUGUGACGGAGCGACGCCGCGUGUGGGACGAAGCCCUUC
rnacentral:rRNA from 1 species